CCUAAAAUUUCUGACAAAUCUCCCUGUUUUGUUUAGUUUAUUUUAGUUUUGUUUUUUUUUGCUGAAACUUCGUUAUAGUUGUGAAGAGCAAAUAGGAUCCUUCUGACAUCUGUUCUACAUGGCUCUCCACCUUGGCUGUGGUUCAAUUUCCACCGGCUUCCAUGAACUCCAUUAUGAAACCCAAGCGUAAGCCUGCCUUUGCCCCAGGACCAGCUCAUGACUCCCGAGCACAGACGUGGGGCUUCCAAAUGCCCUCAGCUACCCUUCCUGAAGCACCUGGCUACAGGGAGCAACCACCACCUUGCAGAAGUCA
ensembl:lncRNA